CCUACGGGAGGCAGCAGUGGGGGAUAUUGCACAAUGGGGGGAACCCUGAUGCAGCGACGCCGCGUGUGGGAAGACGGUCCUCUGGAUUGUAAACCACUGUCCCCAGGGACGAAAAUGACGGUACCUGGGGAGGAAGCUCCGGCUAACUACGUGCCCGCCGCCGCGGUAAUACGUAGGGAGCGAGCGUUGUCCGGAAUUACUGGGUGUAAAGGGAGCGUAGGCGGGGAUGCAAGUUGGGUGGCAAAACUACCGGCUCAACUGGUAGUCGCACUCAAAACUGCAGCUCUUGAGUGACGGAGAGGCAGGCGGAAUGCCUAGUGUAGCGGUGAAAUGCGUAGAUAUUAGGAGGAACACCAGUGGCGAAGGCGGCCUGCUGGGCUUUUACUGACGCUGAGGCUCGAAAGUGUGGGGAGCAAACAGGAUUAGAUACCCCUGUAGUC
rnacentral:rRNA from 1 species